GGUCAUUUGGGGGCGGGGCUUGGCAGGCAGAGUAUAAAUGGGGAGACUCCAGCUUGCUGAAACCAGACGGCCAAACUUCAUCAGUCAAGAGGAAUUUAAUCCAGAGAGGGUCCUUCUGAUCACUGGGUCAGAAGCAUCUGAAUUUCAGUCAUCAGUUGUGGUUCGGCCAUGCUAAUACUUACAAGUAUAAGAAUAUCAUAAUCCCAGAGUGAUAUAAAGACCUUUCCAAGGAAGAUGAGAUACCCAGAGGCUGUAAAGGAGAAGUCUGAAGGAUUUGACCACGUUAAAAUGAAAACCUUAGGUGCAGCAAAACACCAGAAACAAAUUCCAAAGAUAAAAUACACGCCGGAGAAGCCCAUUCUCUCAACACAUCUGACAGUUAACAAAGAGCUGCUCCAGUCCAGCUUAAAAUAUGAACACAAUGGUAGGAAAAUGGAUGUGCACAAUGUGUAGAGGCAACUCCAUAAGAAUAGGAAUGCCCAAUUAACCAACAAAAGGCUGUCCAAUCUUAAUGAAGUGUGAAGAUAAAAGCUUAGCAAAGGUUAAAAUUUAUUGAAGGUUAAAAUGGACACGAUAAAUAAAAACAUUGUUGGCAAAAGA